GAUGAACGCUGGCGGCGUGCCUAAUACAUGCAAGUCGAGCGAACAGAUAAGGAGCUUGCUCCUUUGACGUUAGCGGCGGACGGGUGAGUAACACGUGGGUAACCUACUUAUAAGACUGGGAUAACUUCGGGAAACCGGAGCUAAUACCGGAUAAUAUUUCGAACCGCAUGGUUCGAUAGUGAAAGAUGGUUUUGCUAUCACCUAUAGAUGGACCCGCGCCGUAUUAGCUAGUUGGUAAGGUAACGGCUUACCAAGGCGACGAUACGUAGCCGACCUGAGAGGGUGAUCGGCCACACUGGAACUGAGACACGGUCCAGACUCCUACGGGAGGCAGCAGUAGGGAAUCUUCCGCAAUGGGCGAAAGCCUGACGGAGCAACGCCGCGUGAGUGAUGAAGGUCUUCGGAUCGUAAAACUCUGUUAUUAGGGAAGAACAUACGUGUAAGUAACUGUGCACGUCUUGACGGUACCUAAUCAGAAAGCCACGGCUAACUACGUGCCAGCAGCCGCGGUAAUACGUAGGCGGCAAGCGUUAUCCGGAAUUAUUGGGCGUAAAGCGCGCGUAGGCGGUUUUUUAAGUCUGAUGUGAAAGCCCACGGCUCAACCGUGGAGGGUCAUUGGAAACUGGAAAACUUGAGUGCAGAAGAGGAAAGUGGAAUUCCAUGUGUAGCGGUGAAAUGCGCAGAGAUAUGGAGGAACACCAGUGGCGAAGGCGACUUUCUGGUCUGUAACUGACGCUGAUGUGCGAAAGCGUGGGGAUCAAACAGGAUUAGAUACCCUGGUAGUCCACGCCGUAAACGAUGAGUGCUAAGUGUUAGGGGGUUUCCGCCCCUUAGUGCUGCAGCUAACGCAUUAAGCACUCCGCCUGGGGAGUACGACCGCAAGGUUGAAACUCAAAGGAAUUGACGGGGACCCGCACAAGCGGUGGAGCAUGUGGCUUAAUUCGAAGCAACGCGAAGAACCUUACCAAAUCUUGACAUCCUUUGACAACUCUAGAGAUAGAGCUUUCCCCUUCGGGGGACAAAGUGACAGGUGGUGCAUGGUUGUCGUCAGCUCGUGUCGUGAGAUGUUGGGUUAAGUCCCGCAACGAGCGCAACCCUUAAGCUUAGUUGCCAUCAUUAAGUUGGGCACUCUAAGUUGACUGCCGGUGACAAACCGGAGGAAGGUGGGGAUGACGUCAAAUCAUCAUGCCCCUUAUGAUUUGGGCUACACACGUGCUACAAUGGACAAUACAAAGGGCAGCGAAACCGCGAGGUCAAGCAAAUCCCAUAAAGUUGUUCUCAGUUCGGAUUGUAGUCUGCAACUCGACUACAUGAAGCUGGAAUCGCUAGUAAUCGUAGAUCAGCAUGCUAUGGUGAAUACGUUCCCGGGUCU
rnacentral:rRNA from 1 species